rnacentral:misc_RNA from 1 species
GUAUACAGCAAAUACCAUGGCAUCUGCUAUUGAGGCAAUGGGCAUGUCACUGCCUUAUAGCUCUUCCACACCCGCUGAAGACUCACUAAAGUUGGAUGAGUGUCGCCUAGCGGGAAAAUAUCUUCUGGAAUUAUUAAAGAUGGACUUGAAACCUCGAGAUAUCAUCACAAAAAAGUCCCUUCGAAAUGCAAUGGUAGUUGUCAUGGCACUUGGUGGAUCUACCAAUGCCGUACUACAUUUAAUUGCUAUUGCAAGGUCUGUUGGUUUGGAAUUAACUCUAGAUGACUUCCAAAAGGUUAGCGAUGAGGUUCCUUUCCUUGCAGAUCUGAAGCCUAGUGGAAAAUAUGUUAUGGAGGAUGUGCACAAGAUUGGAGGUACACCCGCAGUCAUUCGCCACCUGUUGGAGCUUGGGUAUAUGGAUGGGGACUGUAUGACUGUCACAGGAAAGACUCUGGCUGAAAAUGCAAAGCUAUUUCCUUCUUUAGCUGAAGGUCAGCAAAUUAUAAGACCACUAUCAAACCCCAUCAAAGAAACAGGCCACAUCCAGAUAUUGUAUGGGAAUCUUGCACCAGAGGGGAGCGUGGCAAAGAUCACUGGAAAAGAAGGGCUAUACUUUUCUGGCCCCGCCUUAGUGUUUGAAGGAGAGGAGGCUAUGCUUGCAGCUAUCUCAGAAGAUCCUUUAAGUUUUAAGGGAAAAGUUGUAGUCAUUAGAGGAGAGGGACCUAAGGGAGGACCAGGUAUGGCUGAAAUGCUGACACCCACAAGUGCAAUUAUGGGUGCAGGUCUUGGGAAGGAUGUUGCUUUACUUACUGAUGGAAGAUUUUCUGGAGGUUCUCAUGGAUACGUUGUGGGGCAUAUAUGUCCUGAAGCACAGGAAGGAGGUCCAAUUGGUCUUGUUCAAAAUGGAGACAUAAUAACAAUAGACAUUCAGAAAAAGAAAAUGGAUGUUCAGUUAUCAGACGAGGUGUUGGAACAGCGUAGAAAGAAUUGGACACCCCCUGCAUAUAAGGCUGACCGAGGGGUUCUCUACAAGUAUAUAAAAAAUGUGCAAUCCGCUUCCAAGGGAUGUGUUACCGAUGAAUAGAGAAGAAGCAUAUUUACCAAAACCAAAGAGUGAACCUGGGAAAGCCUGAUGUUGCUUGCAGCUGCAAUUGGGGCAUCUGCACGGCUCGUAGCCCUUUUAUUAUAGAGGUAUCACAUUUAUGUUUUCAGGUGUAACUUUAUAUAUUUUGUUUCUUUGAAAGUUGAGAGCUAUGUUUUUCUUUUCCCAUUUUUCCUGCUCUGUAUUUCUGGAACUCCCAGCUGUCAUUAAAAUUGUACAAUGCUUGGUGAAAUAAUAUUUGGUAGUAGAGCAAUCACUUCUACUUUGGAAAUUCCCAAAAG